UACGUAGGGGGCAAGCGUUGUCCGGAUUUAUUGGGCGUAAAGAGCGUGUAGGCGGCUAGGUAGGUCCGUUGUGAAAACUCGAGGCUCAACCUCGAGACGUCGAUGGAAACCAUCUAGCUAGAGUCCGGAAGAGGAGAAUGGAAUUCCUGGUGUAGCGGUGAAAUGCGCAGAUAUCAGGAAGAACACCGAUGGCGAAGGCAGUUCGCUGGGACGGUACUGACGCUGAGGCGCGAAAGCGUGGGGAGCAAACAGG
rnacentral:rRNA from 1 species